rnacentral:ncRNA from 1 species
CUUUUAUUAUAACUUUUGGUAAAUGGAACAUUUAAAAUAUUAUUUGAUGUAAUUGUUCUAACACAAAUUAAAAUUAUGCAAUGAUCUUUGACAUAGAAUUUUAUUUAAGUGAUAAAUUUUUGUGCCAGCUAUCGCGGUUAUACAUUAACUUUAUGUUCAUCUUCUUGUAUUACUCGUAAUGAUAUUUAUCAUUUAUUUAAGAAAAAGGUAAAAUUAUUAAUCGUUUAAUGUGUGUAUUUACGUAGUAAAAAAUUUUAAUUUAAAACUAGGAUUAGAUACCCUAUUAUUAGAAAUUUAAUGAACUAAGAAGUGAAGUUAAAUAAAAACUUAAUUAAGAUGGCGGUAAAAUUUUCUUUUAGAGAGGGUUGUCCUAUAAUCGAUAAUCCUCGUUAAAUUCCUCUUUUGAAAUUUUGUAUAUCGCCGUUAAAAUUUAGCUUUAGGUUGAGUUUAGUAUCUUUAAGUUAUAUUAUCAGGUCUAGAUACAAAUUAUGAAGAGUGUUUGAGAUGACCCGUGAAUUAUAAAUUAGUUAUUUUGGUUGAUUUAGUUGAUUAAAUUUCAAUACAUAUUAGGAUUUAAAAGUAAUAUGAUUUUAUUUAAUAUUUGUAUGAUAUAGAAAUAUUUUAUGCACAUAUUGCCCGUCACCCUCUAAAGAGGUAAGUCGUAACAAAGUAAAUUUUCUGGAAGGAGAGUUUAGUUAUUA